CCUGAGAACCCAAAAGAUCGAAUGGGAGAUUCAUCGUCAGCGAUCCAGGCACGCGUGCGGUUCGKGAUGCCGGGGACUUCGGUCUCAUGACACACSCCCGUAUGGUUUUUUUUGCCGGGUGUCGUCGGCGUGCACUUCUCCCCUAGUAGGACGUCGCGACCCGUUGGGUGUCGGUCUACGGCCCGGGUGGGCGCCUGUCAUGUGUAACUCUUYACGGCGUCAUGUGGCAGACCCCCGGUUGUCUGACCAGCUGCUCGGCGGUACUCGCACGGUAUCGAGUCGCAAAUAUUCGAACUGCGUCCGGCCCACCGCAAGCGAGGCCAGUGUUUCCCGGAUGUCGGACCUAGCGCCGUCACCGGGCCUGGCCAGCUGUUGGUUGGUGGUGUUCUGGGACUGGCUCAUAAAUUAUGAUA
rnacentral:rRNA from 1 species